GGAAACUUGAUUUUGAAGCUUUGUGACGGGGAAUGGGUGCUUGCCUGGGAUGUGGUGGCCUCACUACGGGGCAUCUCGGCUGGGUUGCUUGUUCCCAGGGGUUUCCUCAGCGCAGACCCACCCUCCUUCCGUGUCAUGAGGCCAUCACUCCUGAGGGCCUGGCCCAGGUCUGAGCUAGACACAGUGGCAUGUGAAGACAGGCGGGGACUAAGGCCCAACGUGGCUACUCCUGGACUGGGCGGAGCCUGGGCAGCCCUGGUACAUCCAUCAUGUGAGCAUACCUUGUUCACACAAUAUGAUCAUAAGCUGCGGAUGUCCUGUUUCUUUGUCAAGAAGGAGGAGGAGAUAACUUCAGAGUCACGAAAGUAUUUUUGUAGGAGUGAAUGUCGUCAAGGACGUAGAGACCAGCCUCUGUUGCCCACAAAUCUGAUUGCUUAAGGUGUUACCUGAGACUGAAGAAACACAGACUUUUCCCCUGAAAUGCCACCUCCCUCACUCCUUAGCCAAAUAAAAACUCCCUGCUUCAUCCUUUUGCUAACAUGGAGUUGAGGGAUUUUCUCUCCUGCCUUCUUACUUUGG